rnacentral:sRNA from 2 species
AACUAGUAUGCGUGAGGGAUUACAACGGAAAUCCUUUUUUGUUUUUUCUUUAAAAACAAAAAAGAUUAGAGUGAAAAGCCCGACCAUAA